GGGCAUGUAACUCAAGUGAUAGAUUAGAGCAUGUGACUACGAACCACGUUGUCUGAGGUUCGAAUCCCUCCUUGCCCA
rnacentral:tRNA from 1 species